rnacentral:rRNA from 1 species
UACAGAGGUCUCAAGCGUUGUUCGGAUUCAUUGGGCGUAAAGGGCGCGUAGGCGGCGGGGUAAGUCGGGUGUGAAAUCUCAGAGCUCAACUCUGAAACUGCACUCGAUACUGCUCUGCUUGAGGACUGGAGAGGAGACUGGAAUUCACGGUGUAGCAGUGAAAUGACGUAGAUAUCGUGAGGAAGACCAGUGGCGAAGGCGGCUCUCUGGACAGAUACUGACGCUGAGGCG